CAAAAACAAGAUGGCGAUGGUUUAUGGUGAAUCCCAAGCAGUUCACGGCAUCUGACAACAUGUCCCCGAGCAGCGACGGCCAGGAGCAGAGAGCCGGGAAACCUGCCGAAGGGUUUCGGCCGGAAACGUCGACUGUACUUUUUUCCGUCGAUGCUGCCUGGCCUGCUGAGUUCCUCCAGCAUUUUGAGUGUGUUACCCAAUGGUGGGGGUUGUUUCUAGCAGAGCAACAGCUGG